GCCGCGGGGCGGCCACCGGCGAGCGGCGGCCGAGGGCGCGGAGCGGCGAGCGGAUACUCCGCGCAGCCCGCCCGGCGUGCCCGCGGGCAUGGAGCAGGACAAGUACCUGCCCCAGCUGAUGGCCGAGAAGGACAGCCUGGAUCCCUGCUUUGUUCAUGCCAUGCGCCUCCUGGAAGACGAAAUGGAAAAAUUUCAGGGUUCUGAAGGCAAGAAGGAAGAUGAAGAAAAGAAAUAUCUUGAUGUUAUCAGCAACAAAAAUAUAAAGCUGUCAGAGAGAGUUCUGAUCCCUGUCAAACAAUAUCCAAAGUUCAAUUUUGUUGGGAAAUUGCUUGGACCAAGAGGAAACUCUUUAAAGAGGUUACAAGAAGAAACAGGUGCAAAAAUGUCCAUCCUGGGAAAAGGAUCCAUGAGGGAUAAAGCUAAGGAGGAAGAACUAAGGAAAAGUGGAGAAGCCAAAUACGCGCACUUGAGUGAUGAGCUCCAUGUAUUAAUUGAAGUUUUUGCUCCACCUGGGGAGGCGUAUUCUCGUAUGAGUCAUGCCUUGGAAGAAAUAAAAAAAUUCCUGGUUCCUGAUUAUAAUGAUGAAAUUCGCCAGGAGCAGCUGAGAGAACUGUCAUAUUUGAAUGGUUCUGAGGACUCAUCACGUGGACGGGGCAUUCGAGGAAGAGGGAUCCGUGUGCCACCUGCAGCUCCUUCAAGGGGUCGUGGGGGUGCAAUUCCUCCACCCCUGCCUGGACGAGGUGCCCAAGCACCCAGAGGAGCGCCGGUGACCCGUGGAGCCCUCCCUGUGCCACCAGUGGCAAGGGGCGUUCCCACCCCUCGAGCCAGGGGCGCCCCGUCUGUCCCGGGUUACAGACCACCCCCGCCACCUGCACACGAGGCCUACGAGGACUAUGGAUACGACGAUGGGUAUGGGGGUGAAUAUGAUGAUCCAAGCUAUGAGGCAUAUGAUAACAGUUAUGCUACCCAAACACAAAGUGUGCCUGAAUAUUAUGACUACGGUCAUGGAACAAGUGAAGAGGCUUAUGACAGCUACGCACAAGAAGAAUGGGCCACAACCCGUUCCAGCCUAAAGGCACCACCUCCAAGGUCAGCCAGAGGGGGUUACAGGGAACACCCCUAUGGUAGAUAUUGAAGGUCCUCCUCAUCUGUGACCUCAUCUCAAAGACAAUUAAUAACCUGUGGUCUCCACAUAAACAGCAACAAGACAAGGACUCAGGCACUGGACAGCUAAGCAGCAGAUCUGCUGAGAAGGGGUCAGGAUGCAUUAGCUCAUGAUGGAUGGCUUCCUCACAGAAAAACAGUGAAUACCUUUGUUACAUGCCCUUGCAUUACAGGACCUUCACACUGUGUUACCACCAAGUCAGAGAUUUUUGGAGCCUUAGGGAAGUACUGUACCUUUUGAAUGGUGUUCAGGGAACUGAGAGUGCUCAACAUCAUUUGCAAUAAAUCACUCUGUUAUGAAGGACUGAGCCUCAGGUUGGGACUCUCCACAGCCCUGAGUUCUGGACCUCAGGCUACCACUCAGACUUAAAGUGAUCUUCCAGUCUAUCAGCUGAAGUGAGCCUCCUUUAGUUUCCUAAAAGCAUCCCUAAAGACUGGGAUAUGUUGCUGUGCUGUUACACUAUAGUGAGGAUCUCCAAAAUCAGGUAAGUAAAUGAGGAGAUAAAUUAUAUAAGUAUAUGCAUUUUUUCUCAAGAUCUAUCUUGAGAAUUAAAUGUAAGAGAAUACUCAGCCUGAAGCUAAUAGACAUAAGACACUGUGAACCAUACUAGUAAUAAAGAUAUUAGGGUGACAGUUAUUCCGAGACCUUACUGGCAAGUUCUGUAACAUGUAAGUUUGAGUAACUAAUGUCUCCUUAUAACACUGCUACAGUUUAGUCAGGGCUGAAUCUAGCCUUUAGGCUGUGUCCUGAACUCUCUUUUCUCUCAAAGUCAAGUAUUUUUAGCUUUUAUUGACCUAACCAGCUGACUCCGCUCAGCAUUUGUUUUUGGUCAAAUGCAUCUCCCCUCUACAUCUAAACUGACUGAGCAAAGAAGUUGUGUUCUUCAGACAUGAAAUGAAUUUUUAUUACUGAAGUCCACAGUGCAGAUCAUUGUAAGUUAUGUAAUAAUGUGAAAGGACAUAUAAUUGAAAGGCUGUCAGAAGAUGAAAGUGUACUAAGCUUCCCACAGCAUUCACAUUUGCAACUCAUGAAGCCUGAUGACACUGAAAAAGCAAUUCAGUGUUUAAUGCAUGCACCUCUGGUGGCAGCGCUCCUCUUCAGCGCUGGCUGUUGAAAUAUCACAGUCUGUAGCAUAGGAUUUAAUACAGGAGUUUUCCAUUAAAGAUGUUAGCUGUUGCAGUUCACAAUAACUUCUAGCUCAGCUCACCUGCUGGGGACACAGUACUUUGUCCUUGAGUAAGCAGGAUUGCUUUCAUCCUAUUCUUCUCACUGGAGCAGAGAGGAAGUAGAGUGUGAGUACACAUGGAGCAAUGUACAACAAGGGAGUAACUGCAAUACAGGCAUAUAUUAUUAUUGGAUUUGUUUUAAAUGUCAAGCAAUAAUACAUAUGAAAUAAAAGUAAGUCUGUAACUAUCCUGACAUUCUCCUAAAUGUGCAGUAAAACAAAUAAUAAAUAAUUAAUAAUAAAACUGUAGGUUACACUAAUCAAAUUCAAAUCAGUUCAACUGCAUAAUUUUCAGUGAAGAGGUGCUUAUGAAACACGGAAUAAACUGCAGAAGGGAAGGUUCAUUGCUUCCUAAUCAAAAGCAGUCAGCUUUAAACACCAACCAGUCAGGUGAUAGGUUUGUCAUUUCUCAGCUGUGCUCUUGGAGGGAAUUUGCCAAGAAGGCUUGACAGCCUUUAAACUUUGCAGAGCAUUUUUUUACCUGUUUUUGAACAUCAUGUUGAUCUACAAAAACUCCUGGGAGACUGGGAAGAGAGGCAGAGUAACAGCAGUUCUAUUAAAAUAUAUUUGCUGCAAUGAAUGUCAGUCAGAGUUUAUAGUGUGAAAAAACGUGCAUUUUCAGAAGAGAAAUUUUCACCACCCCUCAGGUCUGAUUCUUUCUUGUCUAAUUCUGUCCAGCUACUCUGCGGGACUGAGGAAUGUCAGUCAUUAAUUGCCUGAGUGUCAGAGAAGUAAAGGCUUGUAAUGCAUCACUAAAAGCCAGAAAUCAGGGUGUCUGAAUUAUGAUGGGAGGCUUUAAAUGAAUAUAUUACUGCUACAUACAGUUAACAGCCCAAGCCAGAAAUCAUUUACUUUCAUAAUGCAGAACAAUGACAGCUCUCCAGUAAAAACAUAUUUACAGUAGUUUUACAUUGCUUUCUAGAGGUUUCAUGCAAAAGGGAGAGACAAACAUUAAUAUGCACCAAGGCAGCUACAGAGAACCCUGUCUUUGUACUGUUCUUUCCUUUUAAUCAGCAUGAACUUUGCUAAAUAGGGAAAAGAAUUAUGAGUAGGUAGCAAGCAUCUAGGUUACUGAGGGCAAAUCACUCUCAGGGGAAUAACUUUGCAAUUUGAGCAACAGAGUCUGACCUUUACAUGACUUAAGAUGAACAGGUCUUCUCUGUUUUAAUCCAGCAGGAACAGCAAUUGCAAGGUGGCCAACCUGAAGUUCCUCAACCAUCUUUCCUUACAUGAACAGAAGGUCUGUUCUCCCUUCCCCUGGCAGUUUUACCAUUGUGCUGGAAGAAUUUUCUACUGUCUUCUAUUUUCUAAUGUCUUUUUAAUGUCUUUUUAGUGUCUUCUGUUUCACAUUCUCAAGUGUGGGACCUUACAUAUGUUGUAGUAGUUUUUGGUAUUGGUUGAAGUCCCAUUAAGCUUCUGAAGUUCUUAAAUUGCUUCUUGGAGGGUUUGGGGGUUUUUUCAUGUAACUUAGGUUAUAAAAGUAGCACCAUAAACAUUAAUUGAAGAGCCAUUAAGCAGUAUGGCUGUUUGUUUUGGGUUGAUAGAGGACAUAAAGCUUCAUACCCUGUGGUUGAAAACAAUUAGAUCUGAUGAUGAACAUGCUAUUAAAUAUACCAUUACCAAACUUCUAUCAGUUUAACUUUAGAAAAUUACAACCAGCUGUAGCCAAAGCAUACACAAGUGAUAGAAAGUCAUAUUUUAAUAUGACUGUUAUAAAUAUUGUCUUUUCUAAUGUUUUAUGCUAAUGACAGUGACUAAUAGUAGUCAUUACCUCCAUUCAUUCUCAUAAAAAUUUCCUCGAGAGGAUGAUCACAACUGGAAUGCUGUUUAAAAUAAACCAUUUGUCUAAAAUAGAGAACAUAAAAAACAUUUAAAUACCAAGAGGUUGGCUGGCUAAUUUAUUUUUUAAUAGCAUGUGUUCAACAACUACAGCUUUUGUUAAUUGUGCUAUCAGUUGAACAGAUAUUCCUUUCAGAAACAUUUUUGGCAUACUAACAUGUGUACAUGUCAUGUCUUCGUAUGGUCUCUGAAGAGUGGGAUAAAAGGUGAAUCUUAUAGAGGCCAGAAAAAAAGUCUGAUGCUACCUCUGUAGAGGCUUAAUAUUAAGAACAUUGAAUUUCCUCAGCCAUUUCUUAUUUCAGUUAUGAAUUCUGCUUACUUGACAGGUACAGAGUACUUCAUUAUGUGCAUGAACAGAAAUGCUUAAAUGGAUGAAGCAGCUAUUUACGUCUGAUAGGAGCUAAGUGGGACAUUAAAUUAAUGCCAAACAAUACUCUGAGUAAUUGUGUACAACUCCAAGAAUUGAUACUUGUAAGGAAGUUCCAGUGUCAGACAGACAAAGAAAGUAAAAUAUAAAAUCCUGUUCACAUCAGUGGGUCUUAUCAUAGCUGUAUAGGUUGUAAGAUUUGUCUCUGAAAUCAUACUAUGCUAAUAUGAAAGUACAGAAGACAAUUUAAUAAAUGGGCUACAUCCAGUCAGUUCAUUGGUGUUCUGUGGAGUGUAGUCUGUGUACCAAUAAAAAUCUCCAUGAUUUUUAUUAAUUCCAUUAAAGUAGCAUGCCACCUCCAAAUAUUUAUAGAGAUCAAGCAGACUCACUUCAGGACAAGCCCUUCAUACAUACCAGAGGUACCAUUUCCUGAAAUGUAAACAGUUAGCAUCUGCUGAACCCUAAUCCCUAAAUCAGAAACAUAAAUGUUUGGAUUAACAAAAAAUGGAAAGCCUUACUCUUUGUUGUUGACCUCCUAGUACAUAUUUUUUCACUUUCAAUGUUACGUACAUGACUAGCAUUCUUUAUCCAGGACUGGAAAUGAAGUGACUUUUUGGCACAGUGACUUUUUGGCAUAGUGACCACAAAGGACAGCAGUGAUCAAAUUCAAGCCAACACAAACCCUCACUGAUGCUCACCAACUUCAGGAGAUUUGAAAUCAAGCCUUCAGUUCAAUGUUAUACGUGUGAUGCAGCUGUGUCAUGAUGCACAUGUGAUGAGGCAAGUAAGAUUUCAUACUCUUAAGAAUCAGAGAAAUAAAAGGAUAUUUAUUUUACCCCUUUAAAAGAGUAUAUGGAUCUGAUACCAGAAAAAGUUGAGGAAAUAUAAAACAAAAACUUAUCAUUGAAAUCUAUUUAAUUUUUCUACACAGAGAGUUUUAGCACCCCACUGCACCAGAGACAAAGUGUUUAAUAACUGUUAAGUGUUUUAGCACAGACCUGGAAUUUCUGUCUGUCAUAUUUGCAGUGCAUAUAUAUGUAAUACAGAAUGAAGAUAUACAGAAUAUUCCAUUGUACAAACUAAAGCUAUAACACUGAGCAAACUGCUUAAACCAUAGUGCUCAGGGAAUGAAAUUUGAAAUUCUUUUCCAGAGUAGUUUAUUUUUGGACAGCGUUUUUUUCCAGAAGAGAUUAAAUACAGAGCUGCUGGAGAGCACUGAGAAAGUUGGGAAAGAAUGAGAAUGAGGAUGUAGGUGUUGGUGCUGAGGACCCAGGGCACAAGCAGUGAUCUUGGAAGUUCUGCCUCUUCUGUUUUGUGCUGUGGUUUUAGGCUGUACAGAUCCCAGUAGGACAAUCCAUAAUUAAGUUGGGGUUUAAGGGCUUUCAGUCUUCCUCUUCUCAAGUCACACUCCAGCCACAGCUCCCAGCCUCAUGCCAGGGGCUCCAAAAGUUGGAGCUUCUCCAGGACCACAGCAGGAGAUCGGGGAACUAAGUGCUCCAGGUCAACCUGCCUAGUGAGGGGGGGGUCCUGCAGCCUCUGCUCCUAAAGGUAGUGGAUUGGGAACUGCAAAUUGGAGCUAUCAGUGAUGUCCCUGAACCAGCACUUCUUCAGAGCCUGAGGUGUUCACCAGGUGUUGCCUUUGGCAAGAUGGCAGGGAAACAGUCAUAUUUCCUCUGAAUUCUGCCUCACUUUACACACAGUUGUGACAGGUAUUCAGUGUACACUCAGGUUUUUUUGGAUUCCACAUAUCUAUUUGACUGGGAAGCAAAUUAUAAGUAAGUUUCAGAGAAGAUUGGAAUUGUCCACAUAAAAAUGUUUAAUGCUUUGAAAUGGCUACGAAACAAUAAAAAAUAAAAUCAGUAAAAUACACUUACGUGAAAUUUCAGUUGUUUUAGUAAGUUCUUUUCAUGGUCUAUUUUCAUGUUCUUAAUUUCUGGAAAAAAUGGAUUUCAUUAUACUCUGCAAGAAUAAAGGAAGUCUUUCAGAUUUGUUGUUAGGUUACAUAUUAAAUUUUAGGUCUGUGCAUUAGAAUUUUCAUACAACUCCAGAAUUAUCAAAAUAAUUACUUCUUCUCUAUGCAAAUAUGCAGGGUUAGCUUUCAUUCCUACCCUGUCAUAAGAAAUCCAAAAUUCUAGGCAGUAUAAAAAAUGUGCCUUGAAUCCUAUUGUCAAUAUUCACCUAUUUCCCUUCUUACAACAGAAUGCAAUUUUGACAGACAACUCUUUAACCCUGGGGUAAAGGAAAGUAGCUCUUGCCAUGUUGAAUAAUGAGCUGUGUAAAUUUCAGCUGAUGGAGAUCUAUUCUGUGCCUCCAACAGGACAAAAAGCUAUUUCUAGUGGCUGUGACUUUUAAUAUCAAUAAUUUUAAAUAACCCAUAAACUGACAUAAUUCAGGGAAAAUCUACUUUUUCUUUACCUUUACUCUUGCCAAAAAGGCCUUAGAAAACAAUAUCAAAUCAUAUUGUAUUAUGGCCAUCACCCUGACACUAGAAUUUACAUAAUACAGUGCAUUUGUAUUUAUAGUUUGUACAGUAGGACAUUUGGCCCUUGCUUUUAUUAUUCUACUGUCAUGUAAUUCCAGAUUUUGUCACCGAGUUACUUACUCACCUGAGCAAGAUCAAAAAAGUAAGGCCUGAACCUCUUUCAUUGUUGACAUGAAAUGAAUAUAGGAGUUGAGAAUGCUGCUCUGGCUGUGGGUGUCUGUGUCUGCACAUACCCAUAUGCCAUCCUGGACUGUGACAGGCAAGCAGGACACAAACAUGGAUGAAAAAAAUACUUUUGAUUUCUGAUCUGGGAGAUUGUCUGUAACAGCCACAAUACUGGCAUAGAGCAUCUCAAACCUUGGAUCAUCUCAAAACUUGGAAACUAGUCUCUGUUGCAGAAUGUUAUUUGUACUUCUUGCAAGGAAAAAAAGAGUUCUUCCUAAUUUCACAAAAUACAAAGUAUGGCCAAUCACAGCCACCAUUAGUAGGAUUUCUUCAGGUUCUUACCUUUGUUGUUGUUGUUUGAAUUUUUAUUUGUGAAUAUUAAAGCCACAUUUUUUGUGAAAAACAUAUGAAUAAUAUUUGUAGAAUUGCAAGUGCACCUUGGAAUUCUUAUUCAUUUGUAUUUUAAGUAACCAAGUUUAUUUCAUCAUUAUUGUGCAGUUUGACUACCUGUAUUCAUGACGUGUACCUGCAUGCCACUUUGAUGAGUACUGCAAGGUUAGCAAGUACCCAGCAGGAAUUAAAAGGCUUGUCUUUCAUCAAAGAGGUCAGUGACCAUGGACUGCUUCAUUGCUUAUGAAAAAUAAAGUAAAUUUGCAUCAAAUAAAGUAAAUAUGAGUAUCUAGUGGCUUUCCAAGCAAGCAUAAAGUGGGAUUUGGAGAAUUGAGUCUUAAGAAACUUGCUUGACAUCUAACUUCAAACAAAAAUUGGAUAUGUAAUAUGGAUAUGUCUUCUUGCUACCAGGAAAUCUAUUCAGCUACCAGGAAAGCUCAGUCCUAUAGGAUACAUAUAUAGUUAAUGUCUUAAGAGAAAAGGCUGAGCUACCUAAUCUUUGAGAAAAUUUAAAAAAAACCCAAAAUUUUAAAAGGCAGAAAAGAAAUCAGAAGGAAAAAAAAGAAAAGGGGG